UACAGAGGGGGCAAGCGUUGUUCGGAAUUACUGGGCGUAAAGGGCGCGUAGGCGGCCUUCUAAGUCGAACGUGAAAUCCCCGGGCUUAACCUGGGAAUGGCAUUUGGGACUGCAAGGCUUGAGUGCGGCAGAGGAGACUGGAAUUCCCGGUGUAGCAGUGAAAUGCGUAGAUAUCGGGAGGAAUACCGAUGGCGAAGGCAGGAUCUCUGGGCUGAACACUGACGCUCAUGCACGAAAGCGUGGGAGCAAACAGGA
rnacentral:rRNA from 1 species